GACGAACGCUGGCGGCGUGCUUAACACAUGCAAGUCGAGCGGUAAGGCCCUUUCGGGGGUACACGAGCGGCGAACGGGUGAGUAACACGUGGGUGACCUGCCCUUAGCUCUGGGAUAAGCCUGGGAAACUGGGUCUAAUACCGGAUAUGACUCCAUGACGCAUGUUGUGGGGUGGAAAGCCUUGUGCGGCUAGGGAUGGGCCCGCGGCCUAUCAGCUUGUUGGUGGGGUGAUGGCCACCAAGGCGACGACGGGUAGCCGGCCUGAGAGGGCGACCGGCCACACUGGGACUGAGACACGGCCCAGACUCCUACGGGAGGCAGCAGUGGGGAAUCUUGCGCAAUGGGCGAAAGCCUGACGCAGCGACGCCGCGUGAGGGAUGACGGCCUCGGUUGUAAC
rnacentral:rRNA from 1 species